rnacentral:lncRNA from 1 species
AUGUCAACUGGAAUACCAAUGCAGAAAAAUAGAAAUUCAGAGGAUAUGGUGUGUUUUAGAAGAAAAUUUAGACUGGAAAUUGACUUCUCAGAAGUGAGGUGUAUUUCUGUUAGACCAAUGGACCCUGAGCUUUUCUGCAGAAAACGGGUUCUGAGAACUGGUGGCCAAAUGAUGUUCAACAUAUACCUAUUGAAAGACAACGGAAAUCAGAGCUUUUCUCUGCUAGAAGGAUAUAGAACUUUCUUUCCUUGGGUUUAA